rnacentral:pre_miRNA from 1 species
AGAGAGACAAAUUCUAGAUUUUUUUGUGUAUAACGUUUGACUGGUCGUUUUAUAUAAUUUUUUUUAAUUAGUAUUUUUAUUGUUGUUAGAUGAUAAAACAUGAUUAAUACUUUAUGCGUAACUUGUCUUUUUAUUUUUUUUAUAUUUUUUUUAAAUAAAACAGGUGGUUAAAUGUUGGACACGGAAACUUAGG